GAUGAAGAACGCAGCGAAAUGCGAUAAGUAAUGUGAAUUGCAGAAUUCAGUGAAUCAUCGAAUCUUUGAACGCACAUUGCGCCCGCCAGUAUUCUGGCGGGCAUGCCUGUUCGAGCGUCAUUACAACCCUCAGGCCCCCGGGCCUGGCGUUGGGGAUCGGCGGAGCCCCCCGUGGGCACACGCCGUCCCCCAAAUGCAGUGGCGGUCCCGCCGCAGCUUCCAUCGCGUAGUAGCUAACACCUCGCGACUGGAGAGCGGCGCGGCCACGCCGUAAAACACCCGACUUUCUGAACGUUGACCUCGGAUCAGGUAGGAAUACCCGCUGAACUUAAGCAUAUCAAUAAGCGGAGGA
rnacentral:misc_RNA from 1 species